CUCCACUCCUUCCUUUCGCAUGCAAUCGGCGCCCCCCACUCCUAGGGUAAGGAAGCCGAUGCAGAAGCAGGCGAGGAAGCCGGGGAUGAUGAAGUAGGGCACAGGGGCAGCUCCAGCCGCACCCCCUACCCCGAGCGCUGAAAAGCCCCGGUGCAGACGGGAGGCGGCAGAGGGGUAAAGCGGAUCCCCUCUCCUCAAGCUCCCCUCCGCCAUGGCCUCUGGGAACAGCAGCGACCCACCAGACCGUCAUCGACGCAGGACCAGUGAGAGGCUCAAUUCGGAAGAUCAGGUGGCCCAGGAGACCGAGGAGGUGUUCCGGAGCUAUGCUUUCUACCGCUACCAGCAGGAGAGGGAAGAGGGCGGAGGGGAGGUGCCGAUGGACCCCGAGAUUGCAGAGAUCCAGCAGGAGCCGGGCAGCACCAGUAACCAGGUGGGCAGGCGCCUGGCCAUCAUCGGAGAUGACAUCAACAUGCGGUAUGACGCAGAGUUCCGGAACAUGCUGAAGACCCUGCAGCCCACAAAGGACAAUGCCUACGAGUACUUCACUAAGAUAGCCUCCAGCUUGUUUGACAGCGGCAUUAACUGGGGCAGGGUGAUUGCGCUGCUGGGGUUCGGUUACCGGAUGGCGAUUCAUGUGUACCAGCACGGGGUGACCGGCUUCCUCCGGAGCAUUGCUCGCUACGUGGCAGAAUUCGUGCUCCGCAACCGCAUCGCCCAGUGGAUUGCUGACCAAGGAGGAUGGGUGGCAGCACUGGAGUUGGAUAAUGUUUACGUAUUGUACAUGAUGGGGGUGUUGGUCGUGGUCCUGCUGGGUCAUUUGGUGGUACGACGCUUCUUCAGCCCAUGACUGGAGUGGAGGCCGAGGCCGGCGAUCUGGCCAAACUCUCUCUCAAUAUUCCACUCCGUCAUAAAGACAUUUACUGAGAGAGAGGGGCUCAGGGAACAAACAAGGGAGAGCAGAUUGGAAAUGAUGACUCCUCUUCGGAGACAGCACCAUCCACGGAGAGACUGCCAUCCGUGGGGAGACUGCCAAGGACUACACAGAGAGGCGUUAAUGGGGGGAUUUUGGGGGGGUGGGGAGGGAUUGAAUUAUCUCAUCCAAAGGUUGAAUGCAGCAGUCAGGAACAUCAGCAUGAUGACAUUCCCAGCAUGCAGCGAUGGGCGAGGGUUACAGGCUCCUGCACUGUACAGAAACUGGAGAAGGCCCAUUAGAGGAACAAACAUUGUUAAAGUAAUGCACGUGUCUCCCGCAUCCACUCAGUAGCAUUCUCAAGAGCCCUCCCAGGGAAAGGCACAGAACAUCCGCUAAUGGAUCUCAGCCCAGAUCUCUCCUGCCUUCGCAUAACAGGAUUAUAGCCACUGCCGUUAGUCUCUGCCUGUAAGUCAUUGGAGGGGGUCAGCCAGUGCUGGAGAGUCCAGGGGGGUUUUGCUCUUACCUUCUCUUGCUUCCAGCCUACCAAACCCAGUUUCUUAGUUUUCCGGUUACUUUAAAAGAACCUCUGUGUCCACCUCUAAACAAAUACACUGUUUGGUAUGUGACAAUCAUGACUAAAAAUCCAGUUGCCCCCAGACAAAAUGACAGACUGAUCCUGUCAGGAUCUGAAUUUGGAGAUCUGCUUUUCCUCCCAGGGACAUCGCAGACACCUAACAGAGCAGCAUGCUAGGACUGUGCUAGUGGUCCUGGUUGCCAGCCCUUCCUUGGGGAACGCAGAAGCCUGAACUUCAGGGUGGCAGCAGGUGUAUAAGGGAACGGCUGGUUUUCAAACACUAAAAUAUGGUCAGGUUAAAAAUCCUGGGGUAAAUCAAGAGUGAACGUUUUGGGUUGUAAUGCACCAUCCCAAGUCUGCAGUGUUUGGCUUACAGGCACAGCAGAUGAUGGUCUUCAUCCACAAACCUUUCUAUGGAGAAUCCGUCUGGCGGGGCCCCUCUCAUUUGACUCCUGUAUUUCUGUCCGUGAUUGGAGAUUGUAAACCGCUCCCUGUUGGCAGUUAUUCAGAGUGAUGGCAAAGCAGAGCCCCCGCUUUGAAAUCCUCUGAGCUUUUGUCAGUGGGCGUGGAGUUUCUAAAUCUGGAUCUGAGGCUUGGGUUCAUCUGUGCUUCCCACUUCAGGUUACUUUGUAAAGCUUGCAAACUGUGACUGGAUUUAGGCUGUGUCCACCUGGGCCUCAGACUGGGUUUAGACUCAAUUCCUGCUAACUCCGUUUCUAGCACUUUUUCGGCCAGACAGUGGGGAGGGAGCCAAACUAUCUUCUGGUCAAAGGAGAGUGGGAGAGCCAGUUAUCAGCUAAUAUAUGGCUUCAGUGCCCUGAAGCUGAGGACAUGGCUCCUGUCUAAAGGCUACUGUAGCUAGGGCCAAAGCUACUUAAUUUUAUACUGGAGACUGGAUAGAAGCACCAUCAACACUAAGACUAAAAGUAUCUCAAGCGUUAUCAGGGAUUUUUCCGUUCUUGCCUGUGUCGUGAACCUUUGCUGGCUGCAGUGCACAGUUUACUGGAGUAGGAUGGGAGAAGGCAGCUGGGAUGGCUGGUAAAGGGAUGCUGUGAUUACUCUUCUAGGCAGUUGCAGUGGUGGAUCUCGUAGGGAUUGCCAGAGUGCAUCAGACCCGUGCCUUGUCUAGUCUGGUAACCUGGCUCAGACGGUGGCCUGGUGCUUCAGAGGAAAAAGGAAGCCCGCCGUAGGAAAACGUGGGGUAAUCUGCCCCCAUGAAGGCCUCAUCCUAAUCCCUAAUAGUUAAGAGAUUGGCUUUAACCUCAAAGCAUGACGUUUAAUAUCCCUUCUGAAAUUUGUAUUAGCAUUAAAUGUGGUAAUUUGGUCUAUUCCUGUUAUCCAUCUAAAUUCCCACGCCCUCUUUGAAUCCUGCUAAAUGCUAAUCCUCAGCAACAUCUGCACUGGUUCCUCUAUCUAAUUAUAGUCUAUAUGGUAUUUCCUUUUAGCGGUUAGAAUGACCCAGCUUUUGUUGAUUGAAUGUCUCCUUGCUCAGGAAAGAACAUUAGCUCCCCUUCUCUAGACCAUUCAGUAUUUGAUAUACUUGUUCUCUUCUAUUUUUCUCCUUUCUAAGGUAAAAUGGUAGCAAACUUCCCCUCCUAUGAGUGUUCUUCCAGGCCCUUGACCAUUCUCUUCACCCGUCUCUGAACCUCCUCCUGUUAUGCAAUAUCCUUUUGGAAAUGGGGUUCCCGGUACUACACACAGUAUCUGCAAACCACAGAUUUUUAAAGACAUUAGAAUAUUUUCCAUAGCGUGCUGCAUCUGACUCCUUAUACAUCCUGCCAUCUUGUUUGCUGUUUUUCACCAGCUACACAGUGAGUGAAGGUCUCACUGAGCUGUGACAUCCAGGCCCGUCUCCUGAGUUGAUACAGUUAAUUUGGAACCCUGUACGCUAUAUGAGCUCUUUCCCCUCCCCCCUUCAGUGUGCAUUACGUUGCAGUGAUCAACACUAAGCAUCACUUCCCAUCUUGUUGCCAGUUCAUCUGGCUUGAUUAGGUCCCUCUGGAGUUCUUCGGUGUUCUCUCUGGUCUCGCCUAACCUAAAUAACUGGGUAUUAGCUGCAAAUUUUGCCACUGCAGCGCUUACCCUCUCUUCCAGAUGACACUGAACUCCAGACCUAGUACAGCACCUGGAGGCAUCUGCUGUUAAUCUUGUUGACCCAUGCCAGGGAUUCUUCAUGACUAAUUAGUUUCUUUAAUAGCCUCUUGUGCAAGACCUUGUCAGAGGCCUUUGGAAAGUCUAAAUAAAUUAUGACAACAGGCUCUAUUGAUAUGUUCCAAGCACUUGUAGAUUAGUGAGACAUGAUUUUCCUUUGUAAGAACCAUGCUGACUUAUCAUUUUGAUCCAGAACAGUUUACCAAGGGCCAUGCUGGAUUCUCCAUCAGUGACCAUUUUUAAUCAUGAUUUGAUGUUUUUUUCUAGAAUAUCUGCUCUAGAAAUUAUUUUGGAGUAGUUCUGUGGCCUGGGCUAUCCAGGAGGUCAGACAAGAUGACCACAAUGAUCCUUUCUGCCCUUGUAAUCUGUGAAUCUGCCAGAUGUGUGAAUUAUCUGUUUUUUGUUUCAAUCAAUUUCCCAGAAACCAGAUUCAAGGCUAGUAGAUUUUUUUUUUAAUAAGAUGCUUUAUGGUAAGUGAUCAAGUCCCAGUGGAGUCAGUGAUAUGGGACCCAAGAAGGGAAUCUUUAAAACUUGAACCUUUGCUUUGUUUACCGCUUUUAUUCUCUGCCACCUCCAAAAAUAUUCAACAGGGCACCGUCAAACUCAACCCACUGCAAGGACCGUAUUGGGGCAUUUGCUUGUUACCCCCGUAACCUUACUAGAAAAUCAUCCCUGUUGCUAGCACUAAUUUCUAAGUGGACAAAAGGCAGGUUUCAACUGGGAGAUGAGACAAAUAUGUGCUGCUAAAUGAAUUGCUGAUCUGCAGUACUGUAUUCAGUCUCUGGCUGGCACUGUUGCACAAGUAGGAGGGAUAUCUUAAGUUUUAAGUCUAUUUGGAACCUACCUUGAAAGAGGGAUAGAAUCCAGUGGGGAAAGCUGCUGUGUGAUUUUUAACAGUAUCUUACAUUGGUCCAGCUGGCCCCACGUUUCAUCUGCUAAACCCAGCACUCAUUAGGAGCUGCCUUAGGGUCUGUGUUCUGAGCUGUCGUUUUCAUCUGUUUUUAAUUGGGCUGCUGGUCAGGGAGGCACUGGAUGCUUUUGGGGACAGGGUUGGGAAUGGGCAAGGAAAGCCUUUUCUCCUUGGCCCUGCAGGUUCGACACCAGCGCGGGAGAGAGAGAGGACCAAAAAAACUGUGUAGAACAAGUGGGUGAGCUCAGUCCAGAGAGCUGUGGACGGGUGUCUACCUUAAUCUCCAUUACCAUUGGCCCUUAUUAGCUGUGUCAGCAGAGGAAGCUUGAAGUGGGGCUGUCUGCAGGGGUGUUAUUUCAGAAAACUGUUGGGGGGAAGAGGCAAGCAAUGGAGCAAAGUUGUGUUGGCAUAUAGAACAUUAUAUGUGAUUAUAUUCUAGCCUGCAAAGCUGGGAAGAUUGGUGUGUGUGUGCGACAUACAGACCUAUGAAAAAUCUGGGGGAGGGGAGGCAACUGCCCCGCCUGCCCCACAGCAAAUGACACCCCUGGCUGCCUGUGCUGUGCACAGAGCAUUUCAGUCUCUGGGUUAAGCAAUGCCACCAAUUUCCCCCUCCCCCCCCUUUUUUUUCCUUGGAAGGAGCCCUCUUUGCUUUAAGGAAAUGAAAGCCCUACGAAGGGGGUUACAGUCCUUGUAAUAAUCCCAAACCACCAAACUGCGGUGAAAGCAGCCAGCGUGUAAAGAUGCCUGUUGCGGGUGGUGAUGAAGUUGACUGGAGUCCUUAACAGAGUGUACGCUAGAGGCUAACAGCCUGCCUUGUCACUAACUCCUCCUUGUUCCUGUUAAGAAAAUGUGGGUGUUUGCUGCACUGAACAGCAGGGGUUUCCCUGCAGAGUUCUACUGUAAUACUCCUAGCCACAUGGUACUAACUUGUGGGUAGAUGUGGCCAAACCACUACAAAAGCGACACCUCGUAUGGCAUGCUUGUCCCCACAGUGGGGACAGACAGAAUUGUGGACCCGAGUGAGGUGCUCAGGAGGAGACAGCUGUAGACGGGAGAUAAUGAUUCUCCCUCCCUCCGUGGGGGUGCGCUGAGGAGGAAUUCAUCAUGGUUGCAAGUCUGGCCUAACCAAGCCUACGAAGACCUAAGGAUGCCUGGUUGAGCAAGGCAGUUGCAGCUUGUGAACUGGACAUGGGCCACCUGCAGCGAGGGUUCUGGAAUGCCGUGUGUACUAGAGCCAGACCCUUUCCAUUCCCUACACUUGCUGCAUGGGCUAGGAUGGCUGCCCAUGCCCUUAUGUCAUCUCCUAAGCUCCACAGCAAGUCCGUGAGCUCACUGAGGGAGAGACCCUUGCACAAAGUACCAGCUUUCUAAAAAAAAUCCAAAGCUGCAUAGUUGAUGCUCUGGAGCUGUCGCAGUUACAAUGUCAUGAGCCACUCCCAACAGGGCAGUGCUGUCAAAUUAAGGGGCUGCCUUGGGCAAGCUAGGAGGAGCAUUCUUGUUUCCAUUAACAGGAGCAGAGCUAGGACACAAGGGAGAUGCAUACCCAUACCCAUUGAGGAAGAGUUCCAGCUCAGAGAAUGCUUAGUCCUACGCUGUCCCCAAAACACAAGAGCUUUAAGCAGAAUGACAACAUGCCCUUGACAGACAGAGAUUGCCCUCUAUGUAUCCCCCUCUGCUGCCUGGAAGCAGGAGUCUGGUGCCCUCCCUUGUCUUCUCCCUUGGACACUUUGCUUCACUGAUGAGCCUCAUUAACCACGCUUCCUCACUAACCAUAUGGCGGGAGAGAACACGAGGCUUCCCCGAGGUCAGGGAAGAACCAGGAUGGCUGGGAAGUGACCACAGGCAGUAACGUGGUGCAAGCAUCCACGCUUGGAGAAGCUGAGUCCAGCCAACAUGGAGGGAAUUGUAGGGCAAUCUGUGCUCCUGUUGCUCCCAAUGGUGCAGAGGUGAGAAUCUUCCAGCUCACUCCAGAGUCCCCCUUAGUAACUAUGCAACCUGCCUCCAGAAUUCAAGUGGAGGGGAGAGCCAGUGCAGAUUGGGGAGCACCAGCCACUGCAGCUCAAGCCCCUGGUUUUCAUAAGCUCUUGACGGCAGGCUCCUUUUUCCAGGGGAACAGGCUGUGGGCUGCCCGUGCUCUUGCCAUUCAUGUUCCAAGGACUCUCUAUGCCUGCCUGGCUGGGGGCACUGGCGGCCAGGUUGCAACAGUGCCCUCUGCUUGUUCCGUCCAAGGUGCAGUCCAAUCUGCCCAUGGCCACCAUGAUGUUGUAGAGAUCCCUCAGGCUCCCGUUCUGCUCUUCUAAGACCUCUAAGAUGGCAGCCACUGGGCUUUGCUGGCAUGCAAAAUACCUGCGGAAAGGAAGACCAGUCAGAGCAGCCAGCCUUCCUACACGACUGCAUUUGGACCAAGUGGAAUAGGGGAGACAGUGGGGAAUUACAAGGCUCAAAUGGAGAUGGGGUAGUGCAGGACUGGGACUCAAGCAACCUGAAUUCCACUCCCAGCUCUACCACUGACUCCCUCUGUCUUUGGGCAGGUCGCAUCCCCAUAGUGACUCAGUAUCCUCAUUUAUAAAACGGGGAUAAAUAACCCUCUCCUGCCCUUACAAAGCACUCUGAGCUCUAUACAAGUGUGAACUGUUCAUAUCACAAGAGGCUAAAAUUAAACAGGGGAGAGAUUCAUUUCUGAGCCAAAACUUUUCUCCCAUGGCAAUUUGA